AUGCUCACUUCUGCAGCACAUACACUAAAAUUGGAACAAUACAGAGAAGAUUAGCAAGGCCCCUGUGCAAGGGUGACAUUCAAAAUCGUGAAAUGUUCUAUAUUUUA